GGGUGAGUAACACGUGGAUAACCUACCUAUAAGACUGGGAUAACUUCGGGAAACCGGAGCUAAUACCGGAUAAUAUUUUGAACCGCAUGGUUCAAAAGUGAAAGACGGUCUUGCCGUCACUUAUAGAUGGAUCCGCGCUGCAUUAGCUAGUUGGUAAGGUAACGGCUUACCAAGGCAACGAUGCAUAGCCGACCUGAGAGGGUGAUCGGCCACACUGGAACUGAGACACGGUCCAG
rnacentral:rRNA from 1 species